rnacentral:lncRNA from 1 species
UUGCCAUGCUUUAUCCAAAUGGUUGAGCAUUUAUCAUUGAAAAAUUAUGUGAGUUCCAAUCUAUAUCAAUAGAUAUUUCCUAAUAUUUUUUUCCAAGUACAAAUUGGGUUAUAAAGCUUCUAUUGCCAGUAGCAUUAGAUUUUUCAAAACAGCUCGGUUUGCUUACUUUCUUUUUGGAUCACAAAAAAUAAUUUUGUGUGGAUUUAUAACUCCUAAUUGAUAGCUAACAUUAAAUAUUGUGGGUAAUAAACAAAGAACUUCUGAAACAUGAUGUAGUGCUUGUUAGACAAAUGAGGAAAUAUAGGUCAUUUUAAGGACUAACAAGUCAUAUAAAUAAAAUUUUACUGAUUAAUAUAGAAAUUUUAAGAAAUUAAGCAAAUAAAAAAUAUGUAGCAACUAAUAUUUAAAAAUUUCUAAUUAAAAAAUGUCCACUGCUUAUAGUUGUACAUACAAAAGAAUGCAAGAGAAUAAAAAAGAGGAGAUUUUGGACACUCAUUUGCUGCCAAGGAAAUAAUUUCUUUCUAUAGUUACAGUGUGUGUUUGACAAGAGACUGUGGUCUAACCUUAAGUAUAAUCUGGAAGAAAAUUCUUUCUCCCUUAACUUGAUAGAUAAAUGAGGCCAUAUAGGUCAUUUUAUCACUAGGUAGAGGCAGGCAAGUCUAAGGGCUGAUAAGUCUAAUAAAUAAAAUUUUAUUGCUUAACAUCCAAAUUUUAAGAACUGGGUGAUAAAUAUCUAAAAAUUUCUAACUAAGAAGUGCCUUAUGCUUGUUGUUUUGCAGAUUAGAGAAAGCAAAGGAAUAAAGAAGGGCCGAUCAUGAACACUUUUCUGCUGCAGAGGCAAUGACUUUCUUGCACAGUAGCAGUUUAUCAUUUUUUUUUUUCUGAUCUAAAUCUUUCUCUCUCUCCCCUACACCUUACAAAAGGAGAUGAUGGCUUUAGCUUUAGAAGGAUUCCUUGGAUAGGAAAGGGAGGCCUACCAUCACGGGAGAUGCAAGAAGGGAAUAAGAGUUUCUUCGGUAAGAUAGAAAAGAAACCAACAAUGCAUGGUCUCUGGUUGUCGUGUGGUUCUCAGGUACAUGUGUAAGGUGGAAUCAGUAAACAAGAGCAUGAAUACUCACGAGCUGCUUGCAAAAAGAAAGGUACAAUGUGGCACCAGAAUGCUACCUCUAUUUAGCAUUGACUGGGACUGUUCUCUUCGGUGUAUGCAGAGCUAUGAUUGUUCUAGACUGCUGAAGUGCUGUCGAGUUACAGAAAAGAGAAAAU